AUUGAACGCUGGCGGCAGGCUUAACACAUGCAAGUCGAGCGGGGGAAGGUAGCUUGCUACCGGACCUAGCGGCGGACGGGUGAGUAAUGCUUAGGAAUCUGCCUAUUAGUGGGGGACAACAUCUCGAAAGGGAUGCUAAUACCGCAUACGUCCUACGGGAGAAAGCAGGGGAUCUUCGGACCUUGCGCUAAUAGACGAGCCUAAGUCGGAUUAGCUAGUUGGUGGGGUAAAGGCCUACCAAGGCGACGAUCUGUAGCGGGUCUGAGAGGAUGAUCCGCCACACUGGGACUGGGACACGGCCCAGACUCCUACGGGAGGUAGCAAUGGGGAAUAUUGGACAAUGGGGGGAACCCUGAUCCAGCCAUGCCGCGUGUGUGAAGAAGGCCUUAUGGUCGUAAAGCACUUUAAGCGAGGAGGAGGCUACUCUAGUUAAUACCUAGGGAUAGUGGACGUUACUCGCAGAAUAAGCACCGGCUAACUCUGUGCCAGCAGCCGCAGUAA
rnacentral:rRNA from 1 species